GAAAUGCGAUAAGUAGUGUGAAUUGCAGAAUUCAGUGAAUCAUCGAAUCUUUGAACGCACAUUGCGCCCCUUGGUAUUCCAUGGGGCAUGCCUGUUCGAGCGUCAUUUGUACCUUCAAGCUUUGCUUGGUGUUGGGUGUUUGUCUCGCCUCUGCGCGCAGACUCUCCUCAAAACAAUUGGCAGCCGGCGUAUUGAUUUCGGAGCGCAGUACAUCUCGCGCUUUGCACUCAUAACGACGACGUCCAAAAAGUACAUUUUUUACACUCUUGACCUCGGAUCAGGUAGGGAUACCCGCUGAACUUAAGC
rnacentral:misc_RNA from 1 species